CCAUCUUCCUCCAUGUUGUAUCAUAAUUGAAUGUAAACAAGCAUCAUCCAUAAUGCAUCAAUAUAUCUUUUUUGCUUUUUUUUUUAAUUAUUGAAUUCAAAUUAUUUCAAUUAAAAUACAGAAAUAUGUAUUUCAAUUGAAAUAUUUUGGUUCGAAAGAAAAAAAUAUUUUUUUUUAAUAUCAGUCUGUUUUUUGGAAUGUUUAAGAAAGAAAACGAAGGUUCUAUAUGUCUCUGGUUUG
rnacentral:lncRNA from 1 species